CUACGGGAUGCUCCAGUGGGGAAUAUUGCACAAUGGGCGCAAGCCUGAUGCAGCAACGCCGCGUGAGGGAUGAAGGCCUUCGGGUUGUAAACCUCUUUUAGCAGGGAAGAAGCGAAAGUGACGGUACCUGCAGAAAAAGCACCGGCUAACUACGUGCCAGCAGCCGGGGUAAUACGUAGGGUGCAAGCGUUGUCCGGAAUUAUUGGGCGUAAAGAGCUCGUAGGCGGUUUGUCACGUCUGCUGUGAAAAUCCAAGGCUCAACCUUGGACUUGCAGUGGGUACGGGCAGGCUAGAGUGCGGUAGGGGAGAUGGGAAUUCCUGGUGUAGCGGUGGAAUGCGCAGAUAUCAGGAGGAACACCAAUGGCGAAGGCACAUCUCUGGGCCGUAACUGACGCUGAGGAGCGAAAGCGUGGGGAGCGAACAGGAUUAGAUACCCGAGUAGUC
rnacentral:rRNA from 1 species